rnacentral:rRNA from 1 species
GUCUACGGUAAUACCACCCUGAACGCGCCCGAUCUCAUCUGAUCUCGGAAGCUAAGCAGGAUCGACCCUGAUUAGUACUUGGAUGGGAGACUGUCUGGGAAUAUACCGGGUGCUGUAGACU